rnacentral:rRNA from 1 species
GCCCAGACUCCUACGGGAGGCAGCAGUGGGGAAUAUUGCACAAUGGGGGAAACCCUGAUGCAGCGACGCCGCGUGAGCGAUGAAGUAUUUCGGUAUGUAAAGCUCUAUCAGCAGGGAAGAAGAUGACGGUACCUGACUAAGAAGCCCCGGCUAACUACGUGCCAGCAGCCGCGGUAAUGCGUAGGGGGCAAGCGUUAUCCGGAUUUACUGGGUGUAAAGGGAGCGUAGACGGCGAUGCAAGCCAGAUGUGAAAGCCCGGGGCUCAACCCCGGGACUGCAUUUGGAACUGUGUGGCUGGAGUGUCGGAGAGGCAGGCGGAAUUCCUAGUGUAGCGGUGAAAUGCGUAGAUAUUAGGAGGAACACCAGUGGCGAAGGCGGCCUGCUGGACGAUGACUGACGUUGAGGCUCGAAAGCGUGGGGAGCAAACAGGAUUAGAUACCCGUGUA